rnacentral:rRNA from 1 species
CCCGCUGAACUUAAGCAUAUCAAUAAGCGGAGGAAAAGAAACCAACAGGGAUUGCCUCAGUAACGGCGAGUGAAGCGGCAAGAGCUCAAAUUUGAAAUCUGGCCCUCUUGGGGGUCCGAGUUGUAAUUUGGAGAGGAUGCUUCGGGGGUGACUCCUAUCUAAGUGCCCUGGAAGGGGACGUCAUAGAGGGUGAGAAUCCCGUCUGGGAUGGGUGGCCACACCCGUGUGAAGCUCCUUCGACGAGUCGAGUUGUUUGGGAAUGCAGCUCUAAAUGGGUGGUAAAUUUCAUCUAAAGCUAAAUAUUGGCCGGAGACCGAUAGCGCACAAGUAGAGUGAUCGAAAGAUGAAAAGCACUUUGAAAAGAGAGUUAAACAGCACGUGAAAUUGUUGAAAGGGAAGCGCUUGCAACCAGACUCGCCCGGGGAGGUUCAAUCGGCACUUGUGCCGGUGCACUCCUCCCCGGGUGGGCCAGCGUCGGUUUGGGCGGUCGGUCAAAGGUCCCCGGAAUGUAUCACCCUCCGGGGUGUCUUAUAGCCGGGGACGCAAUGCGGCCAGCCCAGACCGAGGAACGCGCUUCGGCUCGGACGCUGGCGUAAUGGUUGUAAGCGGCCCGUCUUGAAACACGG